AUCUUUUGUGAUUCAUAAGCAUGACUGGGUGUCUCCACUCACUGGUGAGAUGUGCCUCCUCCAACCUUGUUUACGACGUCACCACAUUACCUGUCUGACA
rnacentral:snoRNA from 1 species